UACGUAGGGGGCAAGCGUUGUCCGGAUUUAUUGGGCGUAAAGAGCGUGUAGGCGGCCUGAAAGGUCAGCUGUGAAAACUCGAGGCUCAACCUCGAGACGUCGGUUGAAACCAUCUGGCUAGAGUCCGGAAGAGGAGUGUGGAAUUCCCGGUGUAGCGGUGAAAUGCGCAGAUAUCGGGAAGAACACCGGUGGCGAAGGCGGUUCUCUGGGCCUGUACUGACGCUGAGGAGCGAAAGCGUGGGGAGCGAACAGG
rnacentral:rRNA from 1 species